CUAAAACAUUUUCUUCCUUUCUUUUUCAAAACACGUCUUAUAUACAGGCUUUCAAUCACAACACAUUUUUAUAACAAAAGCAGAACUGAAAGUUUAGUCAUUAUAAUCGUUUGACACCAUAUCACACAUAUUUUCAACCCGCAGCAACAACGGAAGACCUACUCGUGGCUUUGCCACGAGCUCUGCUCUAGUUGAGUAUAGACUGGUCGUUUAACUGGAUUGCAGAACUUGGACCUGUUCUUCUGGAAGGUCUGAAAUUCGUGUGAACGUACCAGUUGACUUUUUGAUUAGUUGGAAUGAAGACACUGGACAACCAUGCUUUUGAUCCGUUCGAGAGAAUAUGUUGCCACAGGAGGUGCACCUAUGCCCGAAGCCGGAGUGGAUGGACGUUAUAUGUCUCUCGCAAUGGUUGGGGAUGUUUGCAGUCAAGGGGACAGGGCCUCCUGGAGAGGGCAUCAGCAUUGCUGUGAGAUCUGCCGGCUCUAUGCUCCACUUUAAAUUCGUAUUGUGACAAUAAUUCAAACCAACGAAGAAUUUAGCCUUCUGGGUUUUUAAAGUUUACGAGCCAGGACAAGUUAGAGGGGACUUUCUCCAUCAGCCUUUCGAAAGUAGCACCUGCAUUGCAAAGACCAAAGGGCAUGUUUAAUAAUUGCCAAUGACCACCACCAGGUUGGGCAAUGUCUGAUGCCUGGGAUGAGGAAUAAGGAUCGAGAGCGGGUGUAGCCACCCUGUCAGCCUCCAAAUGGCGGGGCGUAGAUGGAUGGGACUUAAAAGUGACUUUCUUCAGACCCCAUAUUGUAUAUGGGUACACAU